CUGGACCGAGGCUGGAUAGAUCCUGGAAAGUGUCCUGGGACACUUCUAGGAAUUUUAAAGGUUUUAACUGUGUAAAUAGUCUAAAAUAACCGUAACGACUGCUUUCCAAUACUGUGAGCAUUGGUCACGUGACUCUGGCCCAGUUAGCCGUGUUAGUCACACACGGCAAAGAGCCAUUCAACCAAAAUUGAAUUGAAUUGAACUUGU